rnacentral:rRNA from 1 species
GACGAACGCUGGCGGCGUGCCUAAUACAUGCAAGUAGCACGCAGUUGCGAACGGGUGAGUAACGCGUAGGUAACUUCCUCAUAGCGGGGGAUAACUAUUGGAAACGAUAGCUAAUACCGCAUCCUGUGAGAUGGACCUGCGUUGUAUUAGCUAGUUGGUGAGGUAAAGGCUCACCAAGGCGACGAUACAUACCCGAACUGAGAGGGUGAUCGGCAAAACUGGGACUGAGACAAGGCCAAGACUACUACGGGAGGAAGCAGUAGAGAGUCUGCGGCAAUGGAAGAAAGUCUGACCGAGCAACGCGGCGUGAGUGAAGAAGGUUUUCGGAUCGUAAAGCUCUGUUGUUAGAGAAGCGGUAACUAACAAGAAAGGGACGGCUAACUACGUGCCAGCCGCCGCGGUAAUAC